GAUGAACGCUGGCGGCGUGCCUAAUACAUGCAAGUCGAGCGAACGGACGAGAAGCUUGCUUUUCUGAUGUUAGCGGCGGACGGGUGAGUAACACGUGGAUAACCGACCUAUAAGACUGGGAUAACUUCGGGAAACCGGAUCUAAUACCGGAUAAUAUUUUGAACCGCAUGGUUCAAAAGUGAAAGACGGUCUUGCUGUCACUUAGAGAUGGAUCCGCGCUGCAUUAGCUAGUUGGUAAGGUAACGGCUUACCAAGGCAACGAUGCAUAGCCGACCUGAGAGGGUGAUCGGCCACACUGGAACUGAGACACGGUCCAGACUCCUACGGGAGGCAGCAGUAGGGAAUCUUCCGCAAUGGGCGAAAGCCUGACGGAGCCACGCCGCGUGAGUGAUGAAGGUCUUCGGAUCGUAAAACUCUGUUAUUAGGGAAGAACAUAUGUGUAAGUAACUGUGCACAUCUUGACGGUACCUAAUCAGAAAGCCACGGCUAACUACGUG
rnacentral:rRNA from 1 species